CGCCGUCAUUCUGCUGUGUGCGCGCGCGCGCGCGGAGGGAACGAAGCCAGUACUCUGUACAUGACUGAAGCUGAAAAUCCCAGUGGCAUGUCAGCAGACGACACAAUGUAUGAGAAUGAGAUUACAGGAAAAAGAAAUUGGAGAUCCAAUCCUCUUCGUUUACAGUUCGCUGCCACUUGAAUGUGAUCCUACGCGUAGUUCUGACCAUCUACCUGGUUCUUCUUAGUUAAGUGGGCCAAAAUGUGAAAAUAAUUUUGUCAUCCUAUUCAACAGCUAAAUUGGGGAAUUCAUCUGCAUGGAUAAGGUCUUUUAUUCAGACCCGCCUAGAAGUGAAUGAAGCUGUGCAAAGAAACUUGAGCUGCCAUCAACGAAGAUUUCAGAGAACCUGAAUUGUCGAAUUUUCCACCUGAAACCAUGCCAUUGACAUCUCAAAAUAAUUUCUUGAAUACUACAAAACCUUCUCUUUGCUGUGAAUGAAGCCCAUUUUUCACUUUCAAAAUAUUAUCUGCACUGUAGGGUAAUUUAGAUUUAUUUGAAAAUAUUGGUCAGUCAUUGUCUAAUUUUUUGUUAUUCCAACCAAAAUAUGUUUGAUAUCCUUUGAUUCAGUUUUCUAUAAGGAAGUGAACUGCUUAUGUAACUAUGUAAAGCUUACGAAAAUAGGUUUUCCAAGUUCCUUGGCGAUUGUCACUGGAAAUAAAGUUUGUAAUUGUAUUUUUACUGAUUUUAAUGAAAUUGCAUGUUUUUCAAGACAUCAUUGGAGAUAUUUCAAUAUCUGCUUCAUUGUCCCCAGAGUAGGGAGAGAACUGCAAUGCUGGUCAGAAAAUGUGACUGUGCAUGAGGGCAGCGAACCAGCUGCUCACUGUCUGGAAGGCAGGUAGCUUACCUAAUUGUUGUCUGCUUGAAUAGUGUGCUCACCUGGUUCCAACUCAUUUUUGUGAAUUUUAUAUCAAAUAUGAAAACCAUUCUUUAGUAUGACCCAGAAGUUUGUGUUGACUGGGGAUUAAUUUGGAUGAACCAGAAGUUAGUAUUGACUUAUUGAUCAUUAAUUCCUUCGCAUAUGUAUUGGUCACGUGUAAUCAAAGCACGACUACCUUCGCUGGUGAGCGGUUCAGAUCUACGCUAGGUGCUGUCAUAAUGUUGGGCUGAUGUUUUUUUUUUCAAAAGGCAGUACGUGAAUUGCAUUUUAAUGUGCUAGUGCUUCUAGUUUGCGUGUUCUUAUCUUCUCAAUAAUGUAUGCAUGACAUGAUCUGUCUUAGAUACUUGUGUCGAGCAAAGCCGCACAAUUUGGCGAUGACUUGGAAGUAGAACCUUUGUUUUAUCCCAUAUCAUUAUUUGAGUGCCAUAAAAUCCAGGUUACCAAAAAAGAGAAGAAUAUCUUGUGAGGGGUCCUUGAUCCCCAUUACUUGAGGACUUGCGAAAUGGACCACAUGCGAGUAUUGAGAUUAUCUAACUCGCGUUUUUAGGAUCUUUAAAGAUAUUUUGAACCAGCCGGUAGUAAAAGUUCUGAGACACCAAUGCCUUUCCGAGCACUAACGCUCUCUUUCAGAAGACUUUAAACUUCAUAAUUACCUUGUUCUAUAUUUCAACCAAAGUAUAUUCCACAAUCUUCUGUAGGAAUUUCCAUGGAAAAUAAAGCAUGAAUCCACGUGGCCCCUGUUUAACACAGAUGUUGUAAUCCAAUUGAAACCCACUUUAUGCUGGCCAGAGAGACGACCCCAGUAGUUGUGACAAAACUGCUGAGAGGGGAAUGGGAAUUUCAUGAUUCCCAUCUUUUCACUCAACAAGAAUGGUUUGCCCCAUUCCAUACAUCCAUGAAUACCAGAAAAGACACAUAGGCAACUCCCACAUAUUGCCAUCAAACGUUUAUCCGUUCCUUCGCUGUGUGGAUAUGACAGUGACAUGUGGUAUUGGGUAUUGGCAUUCAAUUACAGCAAGCAGUACUGGUGAUAGUUUGAGUGCCUUCACUACGAGGCCAGCUCUCCACUGGAGUGAAGCUUGACUUUGGUUCCCGUAUUGCCAUAAACGAUGCAGCAGAGCUGUUGCUGGUUUUGCUGGGACUGCCCAUUUCCCAGCAAGUGUGGUCUAAUCCAGAGUGGCCCUUGUGCAUGUUGCAUCAAAUGUGCAUAAUGAAGGGGCUGGGGAGUCCACCCAGAUAAAAAGAAACAUGCUGGGCACCAAGCCUUCGGUGCCAGAAGGUCCAACACUCAUAAAUUUGGAGUACAAUUAUGGACAAAAAUAUGACUUGCUUCUUUUCUGUUGUCAUCAUUUUGUUUAUGGGUUUCAUUCUUUGAUGGGUGGGUGAAGAAAGGGGAAGGGAAGUGGGUGUGGGGGACAGGUCCUUGGGGAGGGCUACAAAUUGACAUUUUCACCUGCAUUUUCAUUUUCAAAAGUGGGUCAUUAAUGAGAAGCUGUGCCAAUAAAUAAAGAUCUUUGACAUGAGGGAGGCAAGCUAGGUGGCACCGUCAACUGGGGAUUCAUAUGUUUUAAUUUGUUCACAUGCUAAGAUUUUAUAAUUUUGGAUUGAUUGAAAAGUGUUAUGGACUGAAUUUCCUAUUUUUUGGUGUUUAGUUUAUCGUCUGUUAAGGAUAUAUGCAAGAUUUGUUUUUUG